UGAGCAAUCUGCCCUUCUCAUCGGAAUAAGCGUUGGAAACGACGUCUAAUGCCGAAUACGACCUCCUUUCGCAUGAUCGGAGGUGGAAAGCUCCGGCGGAGAAGGAUGAGCUCGCGGCCUAUCAGCUAGUUGGUGUGGGUAAUGGCCCACCAAGGCUUCGACGGGUAGCCGGCCUGAGAGGGCGACCGGCCACACUGGGACUGAGAUACGGCCCAGACUCCGUACGGGAGNAGCG
rnacentral:rRNA from 1 species